UCUGGGACUGCUGAAAUUUCUUACCUUUGCAUUUAUACGUGUGUGUGUGUGUGUGUGUGUGUACGUAUAUAUACCCAUACAUACAUGCGUACAUAUAUAUAUACACAUA
rnacentral:miRNA from 12 species